rnacentral:rRNA from 1 species
GACAGAGGGUGCAAACGUUGUCCGGAAUCACUGGGCGUAAAGGGCGCGUAGGUGGCGGCCCAAGUCCAUGGUGAAAGCUCGUCGCUCAACGACGAGUCGGCCACGGAUACUGGGUUGCUCGAGCACUGUAGAGGCAGAUGGAAUUCCGGGUGUAGCGGUGGAAUGCGUAGAGAUCCGGAAGAACACCGGUGGCGAAGGCGGUCUGCUGGGCAGUAGCUGACACUGAGGCGCGACAGCGUGGGGAGCAAACAGG